GCCUGGGUGGCUCAGUCGGUUAAGCACCCGACUUCAACUCAGGUCACGAUCUCGCGGUCCGUGAGUUCGAGCCCCUCAUCGGGCU
rnacentral:tRNA from 1 species